CAGUAGCCGCGGGAAUACGUAGGGUGCAAGCGUUAAUCGGAAUUACUGGGCGUAAAGCGUGCGCAGGCGGUUUCGUAAGACAGAUGUGAAAUCCCCGGGCUUAACCUGGGAACUGCAUUUGUGACUGCGAGGCUAGAGUGUGUCAGAGGGGGGUGGAAUUCCACGUGUAGCAGUGAAAUGCGUAGAUAUGUGGAGGAACACCGAUGGCGAAGGCAGCCCCCUGGGCCAACACUGACACUGAGGCACGAAAGCGUGGGGAGCAAACAGGAUUAGAUACCCCCGUAGUCCCUGUCUCUUAUAC
rnacentral:rRNA from 1 species